AUUCAAAUUUUGAAUAUACCGCCAUUUUAGUGCAAAAGAGAUUAGACAGUUCGUCGUCUAUAAAAAUAUAAGUGAAACAAGUAGAAAGCUUUCCCAUCGAAUUAUGGUAAUCCUCGGUGUUAGGACGCAUUGUAUGCACGUUUGGCGAUAUAGAGCAAGUGGAGUGUGUCGUAUCGCUGAAACGAGCAACCAUUUCGAAUUUCAGAUUGGUAGCCCCGUUAGAGACCCCUGACUUCUGUCUGUGACGGCAUCGUUCCAUCAUCUCGCUCGGUUGACUCGCAAAUGUGCCAUCAAAAAUCGGUGCAGAGAACUGUUCUUCGCCCACGGAUUACCAUCGACCGAAAUCGUAUAAUCAGCGUGGCGAAUUUGCGAAAGUUGGAUUACAGUCUUCGAUAGGCAGGGGUUUGGAGGGUGCUCGAAAUUGAGGAAACUUUUGGCGGGACGCGGACUUCCGCCAUUUUUGAAUUUGAGGUAAAGAGGAAACUUUUGGCGGGACGUAGACUUCCGCCAUUUUUGAACUUGAGGACGUGGAGGUUUGAGAUACUAAUGUAGGGUUUAUACAGAGAUAUAAACUUGGUACCAAUUACUUUCAAGAUCCGAUGACAACUCCGAUAAAUGAAUAAAUUUGUAGAAAGCUGCUGAACCCUCAUUCCAAGCAAAAAUUACCCACGCAAACGCCAUAAUUUAUAGCUCUUUGUGCGAAGCGAGACGAAAUCACGUCGUGGGAACUCGAUCGAAAAGAUUUUUCGAAGGUCCCCUGGCAGCGGAAAAUUGAAGUACUUACAUCCAUGUUCCUGGUACCGUUGAUGAUGCGACGACGAAUAAUAAUCGCAGAAUGAUGAGCAAGCUGCUGCAAAUUGCCAUUUUGCCUGAAAAGCAAUUUCAGUGUUGAUGAACAUUAUAAUAAUAGUCUAGUGUGAGCCGAAACAUCACUGAAAUAUGAAAGAACACUACAAUAAUUGAGUACCGUCAAAACAUCAACUGUAAGCUGUAGAACACUAUAAUGAUUGACCUAACCUAACUACUGUGUGCAGUGAACCAGAACAUCAAUUGUACAUUGAAGAACACUAGUGUAGUAUACACCAGAACGUCAAUUAUACAUUGAAGAAGAUAAGUAAGUAAAUACCAAAAAUAAGUAAAGACUAAAACAUCAAUUGUAUACUAAAGAACAAUAAAUAACAGUAGUACCAAAAAGUCAGUGGCCAUAUUUGAUUAUUUCUGAUAGAAUUAUAUUUGAGAGACACGAUACGGCAAAACUUGAGCACCCAUCACUACCCCUCGAGAAGCCGCCGGCUGGUUUCUCUCCCUUGCUUCCCUUUUCUUCUGUUUCUCUCCUUCCCCUCCAGCCACACUCUGGUCGGUUCAUUGGUUCAUCGGUGCACCGGUCCAGGCUCCGUAUUCUUCUCUCUAAUUAUACCGUUACGUGCAAUCGCUCGUGUCAAUUAGCAGCUCUUUUUUUCCUGCCCGAAUGCAACCCCUUCUUUCGCCGAGGACCCCGCAGGAUUUCGAUUCUCUCUCUUUCCUUCUCGCUCACUCCUCACGGCGAUUUCGGCGGAGGGGCGGUUUUUUCCUAUACUUUGCUUCAAGGUUUUCUUUUCGGGGAGAAUUCGGACAAUGAUACGGAGCGGAUGUAAUGUAGAAUAGAAUCAAGGUAAAAUGUCUUGAGGACGUUGAACAGACUGCGAAAAAAAUAUUUAAUGUGUUUUGACUUAGCGUGACUUGGCGUGUUUUGGAUUGGGUUGCUGGAAUUUAUUUUACGUGCUUUGUAAUUUUUUAAUUGUUGG